GAGCAUACAACCAGGAGCUGAAGGGACCAGCUUGGCCGUCAGUUGCAAGGGUGUGAGGCAGAAGCAACACAAAAGAUCUUGAUAUGAAGCAAUUAUUUUUGGUCUUAAACUGCUGGGACUCCAGAUGACCCAGACCACGGUCAGCAGGCAGAAGCCAGAGAUGACAUCUCACUAUAUUGCCCAGGCUGGUCUUGAACUUCUAGCCUCAAGCAAUCCUCCCACCUCAGCCUCUGAACGUACUGGAAUUACAGAUGGAGCAACUGAGAUUCUUCCCCAACUAGACUAUAAGUUCUCUGAGGGAUAAGGAACAUGUCUGGUUUCCUCAUCUCUCUGUCACAGCACCCUGUGAAUGCCUAGAAGACAGUAAGAAUCAACUGAAUGUUUGUAGAAAGAAUAACGAUACUUACCUAUAGUCUAAAGGUUUAGUGAUGAAAUGAAGUCCACUAACUUCUCUCUGCUUACUUCCACCCUCAAUAACAUAUUUCCUCAAACCCCACAGAGGAAAGACAAUUCAUUUUUUACUAUUGUUUAAUAGAGCCAUGUUUGUAUGUAGCUUCCUGUUCCGCUUAGCCCAAGACAUUAAGUGGGUCAGGAGUAAACUCUGCCCUCUGUUUUUUUCCAUUCCUUUGUCACCUGCUCAAGUGGCAGCCCAGAGCCGCUUGGCGGCUUCCCUGAAGAUGAGCAGAGUGCAGUAGAUUAGGCAUGGCCUUUCUAUCUAUUUCUACUAUGGAGAAGCUGAAAAAGCUAUAUGGCUGGAAAAAAAUCACCUUGGUACUAAUUUGCUAUUUUACAAUAUUUGAAAAUAAAGACCUGUGGUCUUCCUAUGUAUUUCUUUUUAAACAAUGAGGGGUAUGGAACAUCUAUGAAUAAACAUCAAGGUCUUCAAGUGAA
rnacentral:lncRNA from 1 species